rnacentral:rRNA from 1 species
CCUACGGGUGGCUGCAGUCGAGAAUUUUUCACAAUGGGCGCAAGCCUGAUGGAGCGACGCCGCGUGGGGGAUGAAUGGCUUCGGCCCGUAAACCCCUGUCAUUUGCGAUCAACCGUUAUUAUUUAAAAGAUGAUGACCUGAUAGUAGCGAAAGAGGAAGGGACGGCUAACUCUGUGCCAGCAGCCGCGGUAAUACAGAGGUCCCGAGCGUUGUUCGGAUUCGUUGGGCGUAAAGGGUGCGUGGGUGGCGUGAAAUCUCCGAGCUCAACUCGGAAACUGCAUUGGAAACUACUUUGCUCGAGGAUUGGAGGGGGGACUGGAAUACUUGGUGUAGCAGUGAAAUGCGUAGAUAUCAAGUGGAACACCAGUGGCGAAGGCGAGUCUCUGGACAAUUCCUGACACUGAGGCACGAAAGCGAGGGGAGCAAACAGGAUUAGAUACCCCUGUAGUC